rnacentral:rRNA from 1 species
AUUGAACGCUGGCGGCAUGCCUUACACAUGCAAGUCGAACGGUAACGGGCCUUCGGGUGCCGACGAGUGGCGAACGGGUGAGUAAUACAUCGGAACGUGCCCGAUCGUGGGGGAUAACGAGGCGAAAGCUUUGCUAAUACCGCAUACGAUCUACGGAUGAAAGCAGGGGACCGCAAGGCCUUGCGCGGACGGAGCGGCCGAUGGCAGAUUAGGUAGUUGGUGGGAUAAAAGCUUACCAAGCCGACGAUCUGUAGCUGGUCUGAGAGGAUGAUCAGCCACACUGGGACUGAGACACGUCCCAGACUCCUACGGGAGGCAGCGGUGGGGAAUUUUGGACAAUGGGCGCAAGCCUGAUCCAGCCAUGCCGCGUGCAGGAUGAAGGCCUUCGGGUUGUAAACUGCUUUUGUACGGAACGAAAAGCCUUCUUUUAAUACAGGAGGGUCAUGACGGUACCGUAAGAAUAAGCACCGGCUAACUACGUG